rnacentral:lncRNA from 1 species
GUCGCCCUCAGCACAGCCAGGGGUCAGCUGUAGUAGGUCCUGCAUCCGGGCCAGUCCCUGCAGGUGCCCUUGUGGGUCUCAGGGCCCUGGGUCACUGCAGGUGCCCUCCUGGGACACUAAGCCACGGCGUCACCUCAGAGGCACAGUGCCGGGCGGGCCACCCAGCCCCAGGCUCCCCUCACCCGGCACCCCACCCCAGUGACCCCAUCCCUUGCAGGAGCUGCCCACGCUGCGGCAGCUGUGGGCGCGGGGCCAGCAGGUCCUGCUCUCCUACGAGGACGAGGCCUCGGUGCGGCGGCACCCGGAGCUGUGGCCGGGAGUCCCCUACUGGUGGGGCAACAAGGUGAAGUCCGAGGCCCUGAUCCGCUACCUGGAGGACAUGAAGAGCUGCGGCCGCCCGGGUAGGAGGCCGGCCCUCCCGGGCCCACGGAGGGGACGGUCAAGGAGGCGGCCUGGCCGGCGUCCCCUCACGCUCGUGUCCCGCAGGGGGCCUGUUCGUGGCCGGCACCAACCUCACCGAGGACCUGGAGUACGUGCUGGCGCACCCGGCCGGGUCCCUGAAGGAGGUGACCCUGUCCAGCCUGCCCGCGCUCAGCGCCUGGGUCCGCGAGCAGAGCCCGGGGCCCGGCGCCCGCUGCACCAACAUCAUCGCCGGCGACUUCGUGGGCGCCGACAGCUUCGUCGGCGACGUCAUCGGGCUCAACCAGAAGCUGCUGUGGGGCUGACGGUCCCCUCCGGUCAGCCGGGGGCAGCCCGGGGGCAGCCCUAACCCCGGCUGGGCGGGCACUGCUCCAGAUCCCGCGAGAAGACGUCCUCCGAGCUCCAGAUCCCGCGAGAAGACCUCAAUCCAAGGGAUGUGCCUGUGGUCAGGGGUGACCACGGGGUGGGUCCAGCGGGUGUGUCCCGGGCAGUCCCGACCACGGGGUGGGUCCAACGGAAGUGCCCUGGUCAGCCAUGGAUGUGCUCAUGGGCAUGGCCAUCAUGAUGGGUCCAGCAGAUUUGUCUGUGGUCAACGAUGACAACUGGGAUGGGUCCAGCGGGUGUGCCCUGGUCAGCCGCGACCAAGGGAUGGCUCCAACGAAUGUGCUGUGGUCAACCAUGACUGUUGGGAUAGGCCAGUGGGCGCACCCUGGUCAGCCAUGACCAUGGGGAUGUGUCCAGCGGUGUGCCCUGGUCAGCCAUGACCAUGGGGAUGUGUCCAGCGGUGUGCCCUGGUCACCGAGGCCUACUCAACCCAGCGGGAAGCAUGGCCUGUGCAGGGUGGGGAUGCCAGGAGAGGGGUCAGGGCCUCCUCAUCCUGUGCUUUAGAAAGUCCCCGCUUCCAAGAGUGUCGCGUCCCCUGGACGGAUGGGGUGGGGACCUGUGCAGAGACCCUCUUGCAGUACUCAACACAUGGCCUGGCUGUCAGCUCACUCUGACGCCGCCCUUUCCCCGGGCAGCAGGCUCCUGGGGACCCUGGUCCAUCUUGCUUUGGCCAGCUGUUAGUGGAGGGCCUGAGGGGUGGCCAGUGGGCGGUCCUGCAUCUGCAGGCCCCACAGUGUCACGGGUGGUGUGGUCUGUGUUCUAGUCUCUGCAUCCUGGAGCUCGGGCGCCUGGACUUGCAGGCCGGGGUGGGGGGGGGGACUGUCCCCAGAGGUCAGAGGCUCCUGAGACCCCGCCCCUUGCAGGCUGGCUUCUCCAGGGCCAGCGUUUCCUAGACCCUCCUGGUGGGCACCUGCUGCUGGAGGCCCUGGGCACUGAAGGAGCCCAACCCGGGCUGUUUCCCAGCCUCCUGCCCACUGGGCAGGCCCGGGCAAGGCUGGGGGCUCCCUGGGCGCUGGCCCUGCAGGCGCCGGUGACUGGGUCAAUCUGGACCUCCCGCAGCUGCUGUGGCUGGGGUGCCACCUCCCGGUCCCAGGUCCCUUUAAACCCCGCAGGUGGCCGAGAGGCCUGGUCCUGCAGCCUGCCGCAGCCCUGCAGAGCCGGUGUUCCCUGGCCAUCUGGAUGCCCACGACGCGUCACGGCACCCGUUACGGGCAGUCCUGCCGUCAAAGAAGGGCGCAGACCCGGGUGUUCAGGACCGUCUGGAAAUGGCGCCCUGGUCUGCGAAGCCUGUUGCACUUGGGACCCGCAGGGUGGUUUCAGAGGAAGCUGCUCGGGCUUUGUGGUCACCUGUCAUGGCCGUGUCACGGCCGAGACGCGGCACAGCAGGACCAGCUCUGGGCACAUCCCAGCACUGCCUGGCCCCUCCCCGCCACCAAGCACCCUGGGGACAGCCCUUGGAUGCUCAGGUCACAAGGGCGUCAUUUCCUGUCUUAGGAGCCACCAUUCAGGGUUAGUCCACCCUUGAGGACAAUUAAAAGGAACCAAGCC